ensembl:lncRNA SSTR5-AS1 SSTR5 antisense RNA 1
AGCUUGGCCGGGAAUCACGUUAAGCAAAUUGUUUGGAAAAUAAGCCAGGAGAGGAAGGAGCGGCGGGCAGGUGGCCCCGGGAGCCCAGACGGACGGCUGCUGUCGAUAUGGCGACAGCUGCCCUGUGGCCGCCCCUGCACCCAGAUGGCGCCUGGCCUGGCCGCAGCAUCCUGGAGUCUGAGGCCAGCACCUGCGUCUCCCUGAAGCCCCUCAGAGCCUGCCCUGCAGUGCUGCUGCCCUCGUCUACCAGUGGCUCAAGCCUGUCAUCCCAGCACUGUGGGAGGCCGAGGCGGGUGGAUCACCUGAGGACAGGAGUUCAAGACCAGCCUGGGCAACAUGGUGUUUCUGCUUCUGGAGAGGCCCCAGGAAGCUUCCAACCGUGGUGGAAGGCGAAGCGGGAGCAGGUGUCUCACAUGGCGUGAGCGGGAACGAGAAAGACAGAGCAGGGAAACGUGCAGAGGAAAUGGUUGGAGAGCGAA